rnacentral:rRNA from 1 species
AUUGAACGCUGGCGGCAGGCCUAACACAUGCAAGUCGAACGAGUGGCGGACGGGUGAGUAAUGUCUGGGAACCUGCCCGAUGGAGGGGGAUACCAACUGGAAACGGUAGCUAAUACCGCAUACCAUCAGAUGUGCCCAGAUGGGAUUAGCUUGUUGUUGGGGGAACGGCGCACCAAGGCGACGAUCCCUAGCUGGUCUGAGAGGCUGACCAGCCACCCUGGAACUGAGACACGAUCCAUACUCCUACGGGAGGCAGCAGUGGGGAAUAUUGCACAAUGGGCGCAGGCCUGAUGCGGCCAUGCCGCGUGUAUGAGGAAGGCCUUCGGGUUGUAAAGUACUUUCAGCGGGGAGGCGUUACCCUCAGAAGAAGCACCGGCUAACUCCGUGCCAGCAGCCGCGGUAAUAC